UCGAGCUGCAAUGGUGGCUAACAGGCUAUUUAAGAAUUCACCAAAAACAAAACAAAACAAAAGGCUAUUCACAGGGGGUGGCAGUGUCUGAUGUCCUCAUCACCCAAAUUAAUGAGUGCCAACAUCUCCCCUGGCCCCUAUGAGACGUGGAGAGGAAACUGAAUUAGGACUGCAUGUGGAUAACAGAGUCAGCCAUCAGAUGAAGGCUAGCUGUCCAAAAACGGCCUUUUCCGGAAUGGGUCCAGCCUGCACUGC